AACGAACGCUGGCGGCAUGCCUAACACAUGCAAGUCGAACGAUCCCUUCGGGGAUAGUGGCGCACGGGUGCGUAACGCGUGGGAACCUGCCCUUAGGUUCGGACUAACUCAGAGAAAUUUGAGCUAAUACCGGAUAAUGUCUUCGGACCAAAGAUUUAUCGCCUUUGGAUGGGCCCGCGUUGGAUUAGCUAGUUGGUGGGGUAAAGGCCUACCAAGGCGACGAUCCAUAGCUGGUCUGAGAGGAUGAUCAGCCACACUGGGACUGAGACACGGCCCAGACUCCUACGGGAGGCAGCAGUGGGGAAUAUUGGACAAUGGGCGAAAGCCUGAUCCAGCAAUGCCGCGUGAGUGAUGAAGGCCUUAGGGUUGUAAAGCUCUUUUACCCGGGAUGAUAAUGACAGUACCGGGAGAAUAAGCCCCGGCUAACUCCGUG
rnacentral:rRNA from 1 species